GUAGGGAAUCUUCCGCAAUGGGCGAAAGCCUGACGGAGCAACGCCGCGUGAGUGAAGAAGGAUUUCGGUUCGUAAAGCUCUGUUGUUAGGGAAGAAUGAUUGUGUAGUAACUAUACACAGUAGAGACGGUACCUAACCAGAAAGCCACGGCUAACUACGUGCCAGCAGCCGCGGUAAUACGUAGGUGGCAAGCGUUGUCCGGAAUUAUUGGGCGUAAAGCGCGCGCAGGUGGUUUAAUAAGUCUGAUGUGAAAGCCCACGGCUCAACCGUGGAGGGUCAUUGGAAACUGUUAAACUUGAGUGCAGGAGAGAAAAGUGGAAUUCCUAGUGUAGCGGUGAAAUGCGUAGAGAUUAGGAGGAACACCAGUGGCGAAGGCGGCUUUUUGGCCUGUAACUGACACUGAGGCGCGAAAGCGUGGGGAGCAAACAGGAUUAGAAACCCUAGUAGUCC
rnacentral:rRNA from 1 species